rnacentral:rRNA from 1 species
UACGAAGGGGGCUAGCGUUGCUCGGAAUCACUGGGCGUAAAGGGUGCGUAGGCGGGUUUUUAAGUCAGGGGUGAAAUCCUGGAGCUCAACUCCAGAACUGCCUUUGAUACUGAAGAUCUCGAGUCCGGGAGAGGUGAGUGGAACUGCGAGUGUAGAGGUGAAAUGCGUAGAUAUCAGGAGGAACACCGGUGGUGUAAACGGCUCUCUGGACCGUAACUGACGCUGAGGCACGAAAGCGUGGGUAGCAAACAGG